CACGUAGGGUGCAAGCGUUGUCCGGAAUUAUUGGGCGUAAAGGGCUCGUAGGCGGUCCGUCACGUCGGGAGUGAAAACUCGGGGCUCAACCCCGAGCCUGCUUCCGAUACGGGCGGACUAGAGGUAGGUAGGGGAGAACGGAAUUCCUGGUGUAGCGGUGGAAUGCGCAGAUAUCAGGAGGAACACCAGUGGCGAAGGCGGCACUCUGGGCCGGUACUGACGCUGAGGAGCGAAAGCGUGGGGAGCAAACAGG
rnacentral:rRNA from 1 species